rnacentral:rRNA from 1 species
CAGCCGCCACGGUAACACGUAGGGUGCGAGCGUUAAUCGGAAUUACUGGGCGUAAAGCGUGCGCAGGCGGUUGUGUAAGACAGGUGUGAAAUCCCCGGGCUUAACCUGGGAACUGCGCUUGUGACUGCACAGCUAGAGUAUGGCAGAGGGGGGUGGAAUUCCACGUGUAGCAGUGAAAUGCGUAGAGAUGUGGAGGAACACCGAUGGCGAAGGCAGCCCCCUGGGCCAAUACUGACGCUCAUGCACGAAAGCGUGGGGAGCAAACAGGAUUAGAUACCCCCGUAGUCCCUGUCUCUUAUAC